rnacentral:lncRNA from 1 species
AGGGUGAUAGCCAUGGUAUUCACAGGUCCCACUCCUACUUCAGGACAGGGGAUUAAACACAGGCAUUGCAGGGCAGAGUAUUGGAGGCCAGGCUAAAAUUCUGCCAACUACAGUCUGCCUGGUGUUUUUGGUUUUGUUUUGGAAAAACAAAAAAAAUUUUUUCUAACUUUCCCUUAGACCAUCUUUCAUAUCCACCUUUCAGUCCUGCAUUCAUAUCCAAGUUCUCUAACUCUUUUUUCAUUCAUGUCUUCCAAACCUUCUCCUGUGCCUCAUUUUGUUGACUUGUCAACUUGGCCCAAUAGGGGCACCUGCUUUUGGAGUGGUUGUGAUCUCCCAGCCAGAGGAUACGUGUGCUGCCUUUAGCACAGAGCCUAACACAAAAUAAGAACUCAGUAACCAUGUAUCUCCAGGCAUCAAGAAGGGCUCCUUGGCGCGUAGUGGCCUCAAGGAAGGCUCUCCUUGGACAAAGCUCAGCAACCACUUCCCACCCUCUAGGAUGGCCUUAAACAAAGCAGAAAAUAACAAGUGUUGCCAAGAAGGUGGAGAAAAUGAAACAGCAGACAUCAUUGGUGGGAUUGAGGAGAAUGGCUCAGCAGCUGAACCUCAAAGCAGUAACGUUACCAUGUGACCCAGCAGUUCCCCGGCUAGAUGUAUACCUCGGAGAACUAAAAUCACAUUCACUCAAAAACCUGCCCGCAAACCUCAGGCCAGCAGUAUCCAUAACAGUCAACAGUGGAAACAACCCAGAUAUCCACCAGCUGGAUGGAUUAACCAAACUUUUAAACAGAAGUCAUGUGUCACAUGUGUGACGAUCAGCAGCAAGAAUGUAGAAGAGGAGGUGGCUCCUGAGCACGAUGCCUUAAUUCAUAGCCAAGCCCUUCAGCUGAAAAAUAAGAACAGUGUUUCUGGCAGGGAAAGGUGACAUCUUUUUUUCUGUCUGACCUGGAGUCCUUUCCCCCUGCCCUUCCUCAGUCUUUUUAGGAUUAAUUGCUUAAAGUUUGCUGAUUAUCAUGCCAUUUGUAGCAACAUGGAUGGAACUAGAGCGUCUCAUACUGAGUGAAGUACGUCAGAAAGAGAAAGACAAAUACCAUAUGAUAUCACUUAUAUCUGGAAUCUCAUAUGGCACAGAUGAAGCUAUCUGCAGGAAAGAAACAAACUCAUGGGCUUGAAGAACAGACUCGUGGUUGCUGAGGGGGCGGAAGUGGGAUGGACAGGGAGUUUGGGGUUAAUAGAUGCAAACUAUUACAUUUUGAAUGGAUAAGCCGUGAGGUCCUGUUGUGUAAUAACACAGGGAAUUAUGUCCAGUGACUUGUGAUGGGACCUGAUGAAAGAUAAUCGGAGAAAAAGAAUGUAUGUAUAUAUAACGGGGUCACUUGGCUGUACAGCAGAAAUGGACAGAACAUUGUAAAUCAACUAUAAUAAAA